rnacentral:rRNA from 1 species
GACGAACGCUGGCGGCGUGCUUAACACAUGCAAGUCGAACGGAAAGGCCCUGCUUUUGUGGGGUGCUCGAGUGGCGAACGGGUGAGUAACAAGUGAGUAACCUGCCCUUGACUUUGGGAUAACUUCAGGAAACUGGGGCUAAUACCGGAUAGGAGCUCCUGCUGCAUGGUGGGGGUUGGAAAGUUUCGGCGGUUGGGGAUGGACUCGCGGCUUAUCAGCUUGUUGGUGGGGUAGUGGCUUACCAAGGCUUUGACGGGUAGCCGGCCUGAGAGGGUGACCGGCCACAUUGGGACUGAGAUACGGCCCAGACUCCUACGGGAGGCAGCAGUGGGGAAUAUUGCACAAUGGGCGGAAGCCUGAUGCAGCAACGCCGCGUGCGGGAUGACUGCCUUCGGGUUGUAAACCGCUUUCGCCUGUGACGAAGCGUGAGUGACGGUAAUGGGUAAAGAAGCACCGGCUAACUACGUG